rnacentral:rRNA from 1 species
GCAGCAGUGGGGAAUAUUGGGCAAUGGAGGAAACUCUGACCCAGCGACGCCGCGUGCGGGAUGAAGGCCUUCGGGUUGUAAACCGCUUUCAGUAGGGAAGAAGCGAAAGUGACGGUACCUACAAAAGAAGCACCGGCUAACUAUGUGCCAGCAGCCGCGGUAAUACAUAGGGUGCAAGCGUUGUCCGGAAUUAUUGGGCGUAAAGAGCUCGUAGGUCGUUUGUUACGUCGGAUGUGAAAACCUGAGGCUCAACCUCAGGCCUGCAUUCGAUACGGGCAAACUAGAGUUUGGUAGGGGAGACUGGAAUUCCUGGUGUAGCGGUGGAAUGCGCAGAUAUCAGGAGGAACACCAAUGGCGAAGGCAGGUCUCUGGGCCAAUACUGACACUGAGGAGCGAAAGUCUGGGGAGCAAACAGGAUUAGAUACCCCAGUAGUC